UUCUGCGCUGCGAUGUCAGCGCGGGGCUGAGCGCUCAGCUCACACGCAGUCAGUCCUCAGCACCGCAGAGGAAAGGAAGGGAAGAAGGAAGGAAGGGAGGAAACGCUUCCUGCGGGCCACGGGGCAGGAAGGUCCGGAGGACGAGCGCUGGGCCAGGGCCACCAGGCGCGUGGAGGACCGCGGCGAGAGCAGACGCAGUUUCCGCGGGGUGUGGCCCGACAAUGAGAAAAGUGUGGACGACAGUGACCUUCCACGCUGUUAUUUCCCUUCUAAGCGAAUGACAACAGAACACCCAGCGCAUCUUCCACUCAGCAGAGCUUUAGCCAACAGCCGCCUACUUUCUGCCGGGGAUUGACACCUAGUUGAAUUCUAAUUUUGAAAAAAAGGACUGGAGAGAUGGCUUAGUGGUUAAGCCUGUGAAGCCCAAGGACCGAGGUUGGAUUC